rnacentral:rRNA from 1 species
UACGUAGGGCGCAAGCGUUUGUCCGGAAUUAUUGGGCGUAAAGAGCUCGUAGGCGGCUUGUCACGUCGGGUGUGAAAGCCCGGGGCUUAACCCCGGGUCUGCAUUCGAUACGGGCAGGCUAGAGUGUGGUAGGGGAGAUCGAAUUCCUGGUGUAGCGGUGAAAUGCGCAGAUAUCAGGAGGAACACCGGUGGCGAAGGCGGAUCUCUGGGCCAUUACUGACGCUGAGGAGCGAAAGCGUGGGGAGCGAACAGG